CCUACGGGUGGCAGCAGUAAGGAAUAUUGGUCAAUGGAGGAAACUCUGAACCAGCCAUCCCGCGUGAAGGAUGAAGGGGCUCUGCCUUGUAAACUUCUUUUGUCUGGGGCGAAAAAGCUCGAUUUAUCGAGAACUGACGGUACCAGAAGAAUAAGCACCGGCUAACUCCGCGCCAGCAGCCGCGGUAAUACGGAGGGUGCAGGCGUUACUGGGAAUCACGGGUGCGUAGGCGGGUGAGUAAGUCAGAGGUGAAAGGCUGUGGCUUAACCAUGGAAUUGCCAUUGAUACUGCAGAGCUUGAGUGAGGUUGAGGUUGGCGGAAUGUGACAUGUAGCGGUGAAAUGCUUAGAUAUGUGAUGGAACACCGAUUGCGAAGGCAGCUGACUGGACCUAUAUUGACGCUGAGGCACGAAAGCGUGGGGAGCGAACAGGAUUAGAUACCCCAGUAGUC
rnacentral:rRNA from 1 species